rnacentral:rRNA from 1 species
UACGGAAGGCAGCAGUGGGGAAUAUUGCACAAUGGGCGCAAGCCUGAUGCAGCCAUGCCGCGUGUAUGAAGAAGGCCUUCGGGUUGUAAAGUACUUUCAGUCGUGAGGAAGGUGUUAAGGUUAAUAACCUUAGCAAUUGACGUUAGCGACAGAAGAAGCACCGGCUAACUCCGUGCCAGCAGCCGCGGUAAUACGGAGGGUGCGAGCGUUAAUCGGAAUUACUGGGCGUAAAGGGCACGCAGGCGGUUAAUUAAGUUGGAUGUGAAAUCCCCGGGCUUAACCUGGGAAUGGCAUUCAAGACUGGUUAGCUAGAGUCUUGUAGAGGGGGUAGAAUUCCAUGUGUAGCGGUGAAAUGCGUAGAGAUGUGGAGGAAUACCGGUGGCGAAGGCGGCCCCUGGGACAAAGACUGACGCUCAUGUGCGAAAGCGUGGGGAGCAAACGAGGGAUUAGA